UACGUAGGGGGCAAGCGUUGUCCGGAAUCAUUGGGCGUAAAGCGCGUGUAGGCGGCUUGGUAAGUCUGCUCUGAAAGCCCGGGGCUCAACCCCGGGAGGCGGGUGGAUACUGUCAAGCUCGAGUCCGGAAGAGGAGUGUGGAAUUCCUGGUGUAGCGGUGAAAUGCGCAGAUAUCGGGAAGAACACCCGUGGCGAAGGCGGUUCUCUGGGACGGUACUGACGCUGAGACGCGAAAGCGUGGGGAGCGAACAGG
rnacentral:rRNA from 1 species